GCAGGUGUGGUGUAGCGGUAACAUGUUUCCUUCCCAAGGAAGAGAUCGAGGGUUCGAAUCCCUUCACCUGCUCCA
rnacentral:tRNA from 1 species